GUCAAUUUUUAUCUGUAAAUAAAAACUCAUUAGUAGUUGAAAAACCCAUUUACAAUUGUUCUCUUGGGUAACCUUCGUAUACUCCUCAAAACCCCAAAACCCAUCAAAACCUAAGAUUAAGUCACGCAUACCAGAUCUCAAACCAUCUCGCGCAUACCAAAUCUCGUACUAUCAUUGGUGCCCUAAUUUCUAUGAAAUUGAUACCGUUAGACGAUUGAAUCUGUUUGGAUUGGAGCUAGAAAUCGAUUGAAUCCGUUUCAAUUGGAUUCGUGCGAGCGAAUCUGUUUCAAUUGGAGUCUGCGAGUGAAUCUGUUUCGAUUGCAUGUGUUUCGAUUGAAAACCUAGAUUCGAUCUUCGAAGAAAUCUGAUAAGAAGCUGAAAUGAAUCUGAUUUUGAUUUUCAUCGAUUGGAUCAACAAUUACUGAAAAUUUGGAGAAUAAUUGAAGAUUAAGUUCUAUUGGAAGAAAUCGCUUACAAAGAUUAUGUCCAUCUCGUUAUUCUGGUUGUAGCUCUGCUAAACGCGGUGUUUUAUUAGCAGAUUGUUUUAGUUCCGGCUCCCAGUUCCGGCGACGCCAGUUCCAGCUCCCGGACAUCGCUUUCAUGUCCCCUGCUCCUUGUUCCACUAAGAGACUAUAUGGUUUUGCCAUAUGUUUGGUUGCUGGUUUGACUUGUAAACUUAUGGUACAACCUUAAGAAGCUAACUUACGAAGAGAGGUAACAAAAGCUUAUCGAGAGGUCGAAUGCUUUGAAUGAUGCUGCUGGAGAAAAUGAUGAUGACGAUUCAGACGAAGAUUGAUGAUUUUUGGCUUUAGUUAAAUGUUUGUUAGUUUGUGGUUUAACCAUGUUAGAAGUAUGUUGAAUUCAAAACAGAAUUUGUAAUUGUUUUUGGUGAUUUUUCUUGUAAGCUUUUAGCAAAAAAAAAAAAGUUGGAAUUUCUGGAUUUUUUUUGUUUU
rnacentral:lncRNA from 1 species